CUUCCUCAUCGAAUGAAACAAAUUGGAGCUCAGAUCUAAAGCUUUGAGUGAAACAAAUUCACUCACCACGGACGGGUGAUUCUCUCACCUUCUUGAUCUGCCUCUACAUUCUUUUACUAAAUCUGUUUUCUCAUUCCCUCAAACCCUCGUUUUCUCCCACAGCCCCUCUUGCUUUUCUCUCCAAUCUCGAUGUCACCCACCAAAUUGAACUUCGAAGAACUUCGUGGCCCUUGGGUUGACUUGGAUUCAGGGAUUAUUCUUUUUGGGUAAUCUCAAUUAAGUCUUCUCUCUUGUGGAACCCGAUGCAACUCGAUGAUUCAGAUUCAAUGGCCGGGUCACUUGUGUGAAGCUCGUCCGAGCGGCGUGCGAAGGCACUUGAUCGAAGGAGCAGCAGCAACAUGUUCCCCUCCACUAUCGCUCAUUCGGAUGAAUAUUACAAAUCUGAUCAAAGAAAGCAUAAGAAUGGGCUACAAUGAUUUUGGAGAUUUCCAUUAUUCUCAUGGCAACUUGGGGAUGCUUUUUAAGAGCUAUGUUUGUACUCCUGAUUAUUGUACUACAUCAAAGCAUAUUGUUCAUAUGUGCAUGUGUUCCAUUCUGGUUAGCAUAGAUAUGGGUCAAUUUACUCAUGUCGCAAGCAAUGCUAGCAAAGCAGAACAAACACUAGAAGCUAUGUUGCAAGCUAUGAUAAUCUUCACAAGUAGUUUGUUGCAUGGUUUUAUGAUUAUCAUAAAUUUUUUUGGCCUAUUAAUGUUUAUAUGUACAUGAAAGUAAAAUUUUCUAUGUUAGCUGAUGAAUGCCUUAGGGACUUAACAUAAAUUUUUUUGGCCUAUUAAUGCUUAAAUGUACAUGAAAGUAAAAUUUUCUAUGUUAACUGAUGAAUGCCUCAGGGACUUACAAAAUUUCAAUAAAGCUGUCAGCGUACUUAUCAUUUGCCUUAAGAAGAUUGAUAGUGACAACUAUCUUGAGGUAUUAUCUUCUUUAUUUGAGCUAAAAGAUAAACUUCUUAUGCAAAUUAACUUCUGUAUUUGAUAUAUGUACUGUUUUAUAAUAGUUGAACUAAGUAUCAAUUUUGAAAACUUGAAUGAUUCAUAAAAAAGUUAGUAAUGAUAGAAAGUUUCUUGUUUCUUUUUCUUAUCUACAAGAACUCAGUCGUAAGCUUGCAGGAAUUCAAUUUGGGUGUGUUCAGAUCAUUCUCUUUGUUCCAAAGGGUUUAUCCCUGUAAGAUUUAAUUCUCUUUUUGACAUGUGUUAUCAACUGAUCAUAGAGCACGGUACCACAUGUGGAAGUCACCUAAAUUGUUUCUGCAGUUGGAUAUAAUUCAAGUAUAAGAUUAUGAUUUGCCAAGUUUUCUUAGGUAUAGCUGCACCAGCUCCAGGACAGGCGGGACUUUUACUUCCUAAUUUUGUUCCUAAAUAUGCUGUAGGACUUUCUUUUUUUUUGUGUUCGUGGUCAUCAGGCAACACCCUGAACUUAAGGAUAGGCCUGUAGCUGUAUGUCAUUCUGAUAAUCCAAAGGACACUGCUGAAAUUUUAUCUCCAACCUACUCUGCUCAAGAUUAUGGUCUGUUUUGGAUUGAGGGCUGCGUUGUUUGUCAGAGAUGCUAAGGCUCUUUGUCCAUAACUUGUCAUUUUUCCUUAUGAUUUUGAAGUGUAUGAGGAGGUAGCUGAUCAGUUCUAUGACAUUCUACAUAAGCACUGCAGAAAAGUAGAAGUGCAUGAUUAUUUAUAUGAACUUCCUAUCAAGAUGCUUCCAGGAAUAGGACGCAUUUUAGAGGAGAAGUUGAAGAAGCGAAAUAUUUUGAUGUGUGGACAGUUGCGUACGAUUCCUAAGGUGUCUUUAUUGAUGAAUCUAAUGAUAAAAGGGUGACCACCUAAGUCCGCUGCAGCUACAUUACUCUUCCUCCGUAUGCACUUGUAACACAGAUGGGUUCACAAUUCAAGGGUAAGAUACUAGAAGAUAAUAUGGCUGGCAUUCUAAAGUAAUGGCACGGUGAUGUGAGGAGGAAAAGGAAGAAGGAAGAACAAGUAUCACAAUCUGCACGCAUGUCUCUUUCCAUGGAAUGGAGCUCCAUGAGGCACAACAUAUGUAUUUGCAGAUUUCUUACCUCUGGUAUGAAUCAAAUUAGUUGAUAUUUGAAGCCUACUUAGUGUAGCAGCAACUUUGAAUUAAAUUGGUCAAAACAGUAGAGUAGGACAUUUUGGUUCUAUAUUCUCUUUUAAUGAGAUGGACUUAUGGUGUUUGUGGACUACUUGUUAUUGGAUGUUUUCUAUAUCAGUUCUCAUAUUAUAAAGACUUG